AAAUUGAAGAGUUUGAUCAUGGCUCAGAUUGAACGCUGGCGGCAGGCCUAACACAUGCAAGUCGAGCGGAAACGAGUUAUCUGAACCUUCGGGGAACGAUAACGGCGUCGAGCGGCGGACGGGUGAGUAAUGCCUAGGAAAUUGCCUUGAUGUGGGGGAUAACCAUUGGAAACGAUGGCUAAUACCGCAUAACGCCUACGGGCCAAAGAGGGGGACCUUCGGGCCUCUCG
rnacentral:rRNA from 1 species